CUAAAUAGGCCUUGAAAAUAAAUAAACUAGGACAAAUGAAAUUAAUUAUUGGGACAUGAAAAUAUUAUAUAAAUUCUGGUUAAAUGAAGCUGAUGAUCUGAUAUAGAUAUACCAUUCUCAUUCUUUAGUCCUGAGACUUUCCUCUCUUUCACCUCUUUUCUUCUCCUCUUCUCUUUUAUGUACCUUAUUGUCGUCACGAUCUCACCUUCUCGUUCCAAACAAAAACAAAUUUUUUUCCCUGGUAGCGUAGAAAGUGAAAGAAACUGGAGGUAGGAAGACGAGGCUUUUGUGUCUCAUCUAUGGUGGUGUCUCCCCGAAGUGGAAUCUAGGGCCCGGUGGAAGCCAUAGACUUGAGAGAAGGGGAAGUAAAAGGCGGAGGACUUUUGAGUUUUAUUGGCCGAGAGGCUAGGGCACGGUGUGAUUUGGUUCGAUCUCGGUGUGGAAGCUCGGGGAAUCAGCUUAGUGCGUAGUGGUUUUGUGGUUGUGGGAUUUUGGAAACCUUAGAUUUGGGUCAGGGUUGUGUGGUUGGCUGAUUAAGCUAGGGGCGGGGCUGCCCAUGCGAUUGACUGGGUUUUCAUGCUGUCAAAACCACUUCCUUGGGAUCGGAAGGACUUCUUCAAGGAGAGGAGAGGAAGCACGAGAGGUCGGAGUCUUUAAGUUUGCUGCAAGAUAGAGGACUCGCAUCAGGGGUCUUGGGAGUUUGCUCGCUGGAAUUGGCAGACUUGCGCUGUCCUACAGAAGCACGAGAGGUCGGAGUCUUUAGGUUUGCUGCAAGAUAGAGGGAUUCGCAUCAGGUUCUUGGGAAAACGCUCACCGGGAUCGGUAGACUUUCGCCCCCCUACAGGUGAGUUAUGAAUCCGGGUUCUUGAUGAUUGUGAUGAAAUUCGUAGGUUUUGGUUUAAACCAAGAAUAAUAAUAGGGUUCUUAGAUAGUUUUUGUUAAUGUGCUGUUUAGUUGUGCAGAAAUUGUAAUUAAAAAAACAGAUAGUUUUUUAUCUUUUUAAGUCAAAUAAAACUACCUGUAAGAAAGUUCUAGGUUUUGAAUUUUUGAAGUUUCAUCGUGUUCUUUGGUAUUUUGAUUUACCAUGAACUUUUCUUACCUAUCAAAAAAAAUAAAAUAAAAAAUAAGGCUGGGUUAGAAAUUCAUAGACAUCAACUUGCUCAAAUCCAUGAUAGAAAACCCUAUCAAAGCUAAAGGUAAAAAUCCUCUCCCUUCUCAUCCUACCAUUCAUCAAUUCAAUUAUUAUAAUGAUUUUUUUCAUGAAUAAAUGAACAGAAACAGAUAAGUAGCAAUUUUUAGUGAAAGAUAACCUUGAAAAUGGAAGUUUCUGAAUCUAGGCUUUGGACAAAAACAGUAUCACCAUGAUCUUUUCUCUCUUUUGAACUUAAAGGUCUAAAGCAUGCAUAGACUGUUAUGUGCGACAUAUUUUUAUGAUGCCAAAAACCUUUAUCUUCCAAGAAUUAGUGCAUAACUAUCAUGAAAUUCAGCAAAAUAGAGUAUGACUUAAUCCACCUGAAAAUUCUAGAACUAGAGCUUUGUUUUGUCAUUGAGGCAUUUUCUAAUUCAUUACUGAAAAUUUUACAUUAUUAUUUAUUAGUACAGUAUCAACUAUCACACAAACUUGUAUUUGUCUCUUAGAAGGUUUGAAACCUCUAAUUGGUGAUACACUCCUUGUUGCAGGGACACUUUUCUUUGCCAUGAGCAAUGUUGGUGAGGUGGGUAAAUAUCAAUACACUUGAAUAUGAUUGUCACAUCAUUUGGGGGCUUUUGACUCUGGAAGAUUUCUGAUUAAUGUCAUUAAAUUUUUUCUUUUUCUUUUGAAACAAUAUGCCCCUUGAAGACUUGCUUUGAAUAAAUAAGAUUUUAACUUGUUUAGCAUUGUCUAUUGUUGUCUUAUUGUAUUAGAGAGAAGAAAAAAUUACACCUUGAUUCCAUUAUUCUCCUUUUCAAUUCUAUCUAGUUUAUCAUCUUUGAAAACUUGAAGACCUUCUACUUCUAGCUUUAUCUUGCAGAAGGACAAUGAUUCCUGAUCUAUCUGAAUGAGGUUUAACACCAAGAACCAGAUCAGGCCUUGGACAACUCAGAUGGAAAUUAAAUCAUCUUGUCUGCAUCACUGCUCCAUCUCCAAAUUGACUUGAGCUUUUCUUAUUUACUGACAUUCUAUUUUUGUACAGAUUUAUAUACAAUGGAUCUGUAGAAAUUAUAUUGGAUAUUGCACAAGAUCUCCUCAUAGCUACUGAUCAGUAUCUCUUGCAGGGAUAAAGCGUCCCUGUGAGUGUACCAUUGCCCAUGAUAUAUCACUGGAAAAUGUUUCAAGAAUGCAUGAGCUUUCAGAAGCCUUCCGUGCUAUUUCCUUAAGACACACAUGCCUCUUGUCUAUCUUGGAGCAGUUUAGUAAACUGAGUUCUAGGGCCGGUUGAAAGGCACGAUGAGUACAGAAGAAACUCAAAUUUUAUAAAGGAAUUCAUUUUCCUUGGUGGAUGUUUUCCUUCAUUCAUUAGAGUAACAAUGGCCAUACUGUUGCAUCAAGACCCUGGUAUAUGUGUGAAACUUAUGAUGGUGAACUUGUUUUGCACAUUUGACUCAGACAAGCCUCUUUAUUUCCAUUCUUGCUAAACAAAUUCAUGUUAGGCAUUAUUGACUUUUAAUAGAUGUUGUUUGGUUGUGGGAACUCAAGUGAACUCAACUUACAGGUGGAAGCUGAGAGAUCUUAUCAUCAAACUGUACUUGCUACUUUAGAGAAACUAUACGAUGAGUAUAACAAAGAUUAUGACUGGAAUACUUUCUCCACAUGUUUAUUAUUGGAAUUAGAUGAUUAUGGAGAAGAAACGAAACGAGUCUUCAUCUCAGCCAAUAACUAUGGAGAAAGAUGUUUGCGUUCCUACCACAUCCAAGGAUGCAAAUUCAAAUGGAUUUGACAAUCAUGGACAUGCAAAUCAAAAUGGUUCAUACUUUAUUGCAAAAGUAAAGUCUUUGAUCGCCUAGACCAUCCAUUAAUUACUGCCUAUGGAUUACUCACUGUUUUAUUAAAAUUGAUUGAUAUUGGAAAUUCCCAGUUCUUAUAGGGCAGCUCACUGUAUAUUGCUUCACUUACUCCAUUCUUUUUUUCUUUCGUAAUCUGUUUCAUUGCACUAUUGGCGACUAUUUCACCACAUCAAAUUAUAUUUUGCAGCU